rnacentral:tRNA from 1 species
GACCGCGUAGCUCAGUUGGAACAGCAUUGGGCUAGUAUUCCAAAGGUCGUAGGUUCGAAUCCCACUGCGGCCG